rnacentral:rRNA from 1 species
GGACAUAUCAUAACGAAGAGGUAUCGUAAUUGAAGAGGUUUGGAAAGACCCACCACAGAAGGUAAUAGUCCUGUAUGUUAAACGAGAAGACUUCAGAUAUGAUCCAGAGUACCACGGGACACGUGAAACCCUGUGGGAAGCAGGAGGGACCACCCUCCAAGGCUAAAUACUACCUAGUGACCGAUAGCGUAUAGUACCGUGAGGGAAAGGUGAAAAGAACCCCGGGAGGGGAGUGAAAUAGAACCUGAAACCCUGCACUUACAAGCUGUGGAAGCACAUUUCUUGUGUGACCGCGUACUUUUUGUAGAACGGGCCAACGAGUUACGUUAAGUAGCAAGGUUAAGCACUUAAGGUGUGGAGCCGUAGCGAAAGCGAGUUUUAACUGAGCGUUCAGUUACUUGACGUAGACCCGAAACCGGGCGACCUACCCAUGAGCAGGAUGAAGCGAAAGUAAAAUUUCGUGGAGGUCCGAACCCACGAGCGUUGAAAAGCUCGGGGAUGACUUGUGGGUAGCGGUGAAAUUCCAAUCGAGCCCGGAGAUAGCUGGUUCUCCCCGAAAUAGCUUUAGGGCUAGCCUCAAGGUGAGAGAUACGGAGGUAGAGCACUGAAUGUCCUAGGGGGUAUUGCACCUACCGAAGACUAUCAAACUCCGAAUGCCGUCAUCUUAUACUUGGGAGUCAGACUGUGGGUGAUAAGAUUCAUAGUCGAAAGGGCAACAGCCCAGAUCGUCAGCUAAGGUCCCUAAAUGUAAGUUAAGUGGUAAAGGAUGUGGGAUUGCACAGACAACCAGGAUGUUGGCUUAGAAGCAGCCACUCAUUCAAAGAGUGCGUAAUAGCUCACUGGUCGAGUGAUCCUGCGCCGAAGAUUUCCGGGGCUAAAACUUACUACCGAAGCUACGGCAUCAGUAAUGAUGGGUAGGGGAGCUUCCCAUACGGGUUGAAGCAUGACCGUAAGGACAUGUGGACAGUAUGGGAGUGAGAAUGUUGGCAUGAGUAGCGAGAUGUGGGUGAGAAUCCCACAGGCCGUAAACCCAAGGUUUCCAGGGGAAGGUUCGUCCGCCCUGGGUUAGUCGGGACCUAAGCUGAGGCCGAAAGGCGUAGGUGAUGGACAACAGGUUGAUAUUCCUGUACUACCGAUAACCGUUUGAGAGAAGGGAUGACACAGUAGGAUAAGCUAAGCACACUGUUGGUUAUGUGUGCCCAAGCAUUGAGGCAGUCAAAGUAGGCAAAUCCGCUUUGAUAAUGCUGGGAUGUGAUGGGGAGCGAAAUUUAGUAGCGAAGUAGCUGAUUUCACACUGUCAAGAAAAGUCUCUAUCGAGGUUAAAGGUACCCGUACCGCAAACCGACACAGGUGGGUGAGGAGAGUAUCCUAAGGCCAGCGAGAGAACUGUUGUUAAGGAACUCGGCAAAAUGACCCCGUAACUUAGGGAUAAGGGGUGCCACCAUCAGGUGGCCGCAGAGAAUAGGCCCAAGCGACUGUUUACCAAAAACAUAGGUUUCUGCUAAGUCGCAAGACGAUGUAUAGGAGCUGACGCCUGCCCGGUGCUGGAAGGUUAAGGGGAUCUGUUAGAGCAAUCGAAGCAGUGAACUUAAGCCCCAGUAAACGGCGGCCGUAACUAUAACGGUCCUAAGGUAGCGAAAUUCCUUGUCGGGUAAGUUCCGACCCGCACGAAAGGCGUAACGAUUUGGGCACUGUCUCAACAACAGACUCGGUGAAAUUGUAAUUCCGGUGAAGAUGCCGGAUACCUGCGACAGGACGGAAAGACCCCAUGGAGCUU